UAAUAAGCGUCCGUCGGAUCAGUAGGCGAAACGCAAUAUCCGCACAAUAAGAUGUCUGCGACCCGAAAGAAUAUUCAAAAAUAUGGACGGCACUCCAGUACAGCACAUGCAUGGUUGGACUUGUUGACAUUUUUAGAAACGCAUCUUGGUCUAUUAUACAGAGUAUUUGUUGUACUGCUUCAAAGUGCUUGUUGACAGACUGAAAACCCUUGCUUGCGGCUCAUAAGGU